ACUUUACUAGAUACCCUCUGUCUUUCUUGCUCUCUCAAGCCACUGCAGAUUAGUAAGUUCUCUAUUUUGGCGGCAAGAGGAGAAGGAGAUUCUGCAACAGUAAUAGAAGGAGAGCGUUCUUCAAAUUCUGAAUCUUCAAAUCCAGACAUCAACAAGUCGUUAAUGACCCUAGACGAGAAGUACAAGAUAGCAAGGAGCAAAUGGGAGGAAUGCACUCAAGAGCAUGAGUUGUGGAAUCUCCUUAAAAUUCAGUCUGAAUAUGUUAUGAUGGUUUUGGGCAUCCGGAAGGAUGCACAUUGCACAAGUAAGUUUUGUAUUCAUAUCUCCUACGACAAUGAUGCUAAGUAUAUUUUUGUUUGUGCCUGAUUCAUUGUUGCCUAGGUGUUAUGAAGGUGAUAAAUGUGAAUAUAACAUACUGGGGAUGCUGAGUAUGGAUAUAUUUUGCUAAUAGAUGGUGACUUGUCUAAAUUUAGAGUGGUCGGUGAAUAUUUUAUCGAAAUUUGGAAGGCUAUUAGGUGAAUAGUUUCCGAAAUAGCUCGUCUGAAUGGUGUCACAGUAAUGACAGGGGUGUAGUGUCUGUUUGAAUGUUUUCCUUCGAUGACUCUGUUUUAUUAUUUGCUAUGACAUUUUCGCAACUUGGUGUAGAUAUGGUCAAUUAAUGGAUCAGAAUGAUCAGGAGGAGUUGGCUGAUUCCCGAAUUAUGUAGCCUUGAAUGGUGCUGAUAUCUUUUUCCUUGAGUUAUUCUGUUACUUCUUGGAUCAAAGAACUACUGAUUUAAAGUCCUUAUACUUUUAUCUCUUAAACCUGUCCUAUUGGAUAGGAUUGUUGAUAGUUUAGUAGGUAAACAUCAGAAAUAUAAUCUACCAUUCUUGUACAUAUUCAAAGGACAAGCUAAUUGUUGCGAGCCCACAGGGAGCAUGAUUGGUGAAAAGGACUUUUAAAACCUUGGAACAAAGUUUAACAGGAUGUUAACAUUCCACAUGUUUCUCAAUCAACCCUUGUUUUUUCUGUUGUUUUUGACUGGCUGACAUCUGUCAGAUGGGUUUGGAUCAGCAUAUUGCAAUGAUAAAAAGCUAGAGAACGAGCCUAUUAUCUUGUCACACUGUAUACCUCUUACUAGUACUGCUUCAUGUUUUGACCUGAGUUAUCUUAAUCUCUGUAUCACUACAUCUGGAUAUCUAUCUUUUUGCUUCUUCAGCAGUCAAAGGAGUUGUUGGCUCUGCAUCUCUUUGUUUAUAAGCUUUAGGUGGAGUUUGACUCAUUCUGUUGGACCUCCAAAAGCUUCGAAAUUUCCGACUUUGAAAAAAGGGGAAUUGUACCCUGCUGACUUAUAACCAGUUUGGUAUAUUAAAAACAUAGUUAAAUUUGAGUUUUGUUUUUAUAUGAAGUUAGUCUUAGUGUAGAAGCUUCUUAUUUUGAAGUUGCAAUCUAGAGUUAUCUUCUACAGGAAACUAGGAGUUACAGAACUCAGUACAGUGUUAAUGUCAUGUUUUUAAUUUUCUAAUGUAGCCAAUAAAUUGGCAUGAUGUAAGUGCUGUAGAUAAGAAAUCAGACUAAAAGUUAGAAGAGUUGCUCAAUAUCUUACCUGACCUUUUUUUUUCCGCUGUGUCAACCGGGUAAAUAAAGUUGUGAAGCAUGAGGUUUGGCUUGUAAAGCCUUUUCAUGUAAGUUCAAGAAACACACCCGGAGGGAUGGAUGCUGUUCAAGCUUCCUGGUUCAAUUGUUUUCACACUGUCUCUUGUUGUUUCACUUAUGUUGUGGGAAGUGGGAACUGUUUAAUUGACUUUGUGGACCUUAGAUCGAGCUGCAUUACUCUAAUAGACAUUCAGCUCAUGACUUAUACCGGAAAGCUUCUCUUUUGGGUGCCCCAUAUAAACAAUGAAGUAAGCGGCUUCCUGAUUUGGUUUCUUAACUUUUACUUGGAUAAAAUCCUUACGUUUUAAAUGUCCGUGUCCUUUCUUUAGAUUGAUUAUUCACUCUUUUGUAAGCCUUGAGCCAAAACAUUGGCUAACAGUUGUUAUCUGUAAUGCUUUCCUUUUAUUAUGUGCAGCCUAAUAGUGACGGCAGAGCAAAAGAUCUACUGAGAAGGGUGAAGAGCUACAAUGUCACAAUGUGAUGUUCAGGAAGAGCCCUUUUCUCGUUUCCUAUGGGUUUAUCAUUCAAACGUACUAAUCUUUCAAUGUGGAUGGUGUGAUCAAACAUUUUAAAGUUUGAAAAUAAUUUGUUCUACUGUUUUAAUGACGAUUUUGUAAUCUGAAUUUUGGGUGGAAUCAAGAGAAGUGAUUUAAGUAGCUCAGUACAAUUUUAUUAUCAGCUGGGUCAGAUCGACAGGAAAUUCCGAUCCUCGAAUUUGUCAUGUGACCCCAAAAUUUA